UUUCCGUGGAUCGACUAUUUUGCUGAACCUUCUUCGUCUCUCUAUUAUUACUUACCAAAACUAAGAUUACAUGAUUUCUAUCAGAGAUAAUGAUUCUAAGCUUGAUAAAUCCAACAAUUCUCCUCUGUCUAUCUAUCUGCUCUUUUUACUCUUCCUCUCUCUAAAUAUUUUGUUGUUGUUUUUACUGCUACAUUCUAAUAUGAAUCUGAUUGAAAAAAAAAACUUCCUUCGCAGGAGACCCAAAAUCCCUUUUCUUCAGAAAACCCUAACUUUCUCUCUCGAAGAUCAAAAUGAUAAACUUAAUUUUUCCAGUUUCAUACUUGUUACAACUAGCAUUCCAUGGUAACAGAAGUCAUUAGUGAAAAGUUAGAAAUCAGUGAAAUGUUUUGGUUGGAUGCUAUUCUUCCAUUAGGAAUUAUAGUUAAUUCUCCGUAUCACUUCUUGUUAGAAUUUCUUAAUCCCGAUCUUUAUUUAAACAUCACGAAUAAUUGGGGGUUUUGUUGUUCGCAGAUUUGGGUUUGAUGUUGAAGUUGUUUCUUACAAGGAUAGGUCAUGGUUCAAAUUGUAACAAUCCCACUUGAUGCAAUGCCAGAGUUUGUUUAAGGAAAUUUGAGCUUUAAAAGAGAAUUUUUCACUGUUGCUCGAGCAUCAACACUCUCUUGACAGGUUUUGCUUUGUUAAUCUUUCAAUUUCAAGUGAAGUUGCUGAAGUUAUUUCAAUCUCUCAAUUUCAUUGAAUCUCAGAUUCAUUGUUACCUGUAGUCUUUCUUCAAUACAUCUAAGUAGCAUUGGAAGGAUAAUCUCUUGUAGCGAAAACUGUGACUACUGUCGAAAGUUGCCAUUUAUUUGAAUCUCAAGAAGGCCUAUGCAGAAAGGUGAAGAUAUGGGAAAAGCUUAUGUAUGCCUUUUGUACUGAAAGCUGGAUCUUAAAUUAAUCUACAAAGUCUAAAUCCAGUGCUACGAAGACACCAAGAUGAUGAAGUUAUUCCCUGAAAUUGUUCGAAACCUCUGCUUGCAGAAGAUACAAUUAUUCAUUGGUUUUGCUAAGGAUUAAUCCCCAAGGGAAGACAAAGAUUUGAGAAAGCUCUGGAACUCAAUGUUUAACUGGCUGGAGGAGGCAGGAGAUGGUGCUGACAAUGGAUGUUAUUCAAGCCUGGAGGAGGCAGUGCUGUAGAGGACAGAUUACACUGGUCAUAACUACACAUUACACUGGUCAGAACUACAGAUUUUAAUCUUUUGUGUAAUUUGAAACCAAUGAAUCAAUGAAUGUUAAAUUGAAUGAUUAUUUGUGUGCAAGUUUAAUUUGACUCUUA